rnacentral:piRNA from 1 species
AAAACCUUUUGGAAUUUUGAAUGUGU